CAAAAGCCUGGUCCUGACUUUAACAUCGGUUGUGGCCCAAAUUAUACAUGCGAGUAUCCGCGCCCCUGUGAGGAGAACUUUCAUCCCCAAUAUGGAAGAAAUUUUAGGCAUCAGGCACACUCAAGAGUAGCCCAAAACGCCAAGCUAAGCCACACCCCCAAGGGAAUUCAGCAGUAAUAAGUAUUAAUGUAUAAGCGAAAGCUUGACUUAAUUAGGGCAAUAAUAGAGCCGGUAAAACUCGUGCCAGCCACCGCGGUUAUACGAGGGGCUCAAAUUGAUGUGUAACGGCGUAAAGAGUGAUUAGAGAAUACCUAACUAAAGCUGAAAACACCCUCAGUUGUCAUACGCUAAUGGUAAAUGGAAAGCCAGGAACGAAAGUAGCUUUAAAAAUCUUGAAUUCACGACCAUUGAGGAACAAACCGGGAUUAGAUACCCCAUUAUGCUCAAUAGUAAACAACGGUGGUGGAGAACACAAGCCGCCCGCCAGGGGAUUACGAACACCUAGUUUAAAACCCAAAGGACUUGACGGUGCCUUAGACCCACUUAGAGGAGCCUGUCCUAUAACCGAUAUACCCCGUUAAACCUCACUACUCCUUGCAUGUCAGCCUAUAUACCGCCGUCGGCAGCUUACCUUGUGAAAGACACUAUAGUGAGCUAAAUGGAAUACAGAUCCAGAACGUCAGGUCGAGGUGUAGCAAACGGAGUAGGAAGAGAUGGGCUACACUUUCUGGAUCAGAAAAAACGAAAGGUGGAAUGAAAAUAACACAACCGAAGGUGGAUUUAACAGUAAGAUUCAUGAAAAAAGAGAGUUCGACUGAAUAAGGCUCUAAGGCGAGUACACACCGCCCGUCACUCUCUUCUAGGGCGGGAUAAUCAACUAAAUAAUGCUUAAAACAGCCAGCAGAGGAGACAAGUCGUAACAUGGUAAGUGUACCGGAAGGUGCACUUGGAAUAACU
rnacentral:ncRNA from 1 species